rnacentral:lncRNA from 1 species
AGGUGUUUGGUUAAUGAUUUAUUCACUCAUUAGUCAUUCCACAAACUUGUCUUGAGCACCUGUUAUGUACCCAGCACUGUGCUGGAAUGCUGAGGAGACAGGAGUGAAGUAAAAAGACAUGGUUCCGGCAGGAAACAGGCAAGGAGAGCCUUGACUUGGUAGGGCUAACACAGUGCUACACAGGAGGGACGCCCGCUCGGUGUCGGGGGUCAGCAAAGCUUCCUUAAGGACCACUAGGUUGAGACAAGAAGGAUGAGUAUGGGAUUAGCCAGGAAAGGGAAAAGGGCAGUGGGAACUGGAAGAGAAGAGCCUUCUAGGACUGGGAAAGAGCAAGUGCCGGGUCAGGAGAGAGGACAUAGCAGUGAGGAGGCAGUAGGUAUGGAUGAAUGAGCAGAGGAAGUGGGGAGAGAUUAAGGUGCUUUCAGAAACGGGUUGGAAACCAGUUUAGUGAGUUUGGAUGGCAUUUACCUAAAGGCAAUGUUAGAGUCAUCGAAAGUUUUUAAUCAGGCAAGUGGUAUGAUCAGUUUUUUGUUUUGUUUUGUUUUUUUUGAGACGGAGUCUGGCUAUAUCGCCAGGCUGGAAUGCAAUGGCGCGAUCUCUCCUCACUGCAACCUCCGCCUCCCGGGUUCAAGCGAUUCUCCUGCCUCAGCACCUCGAGUAGCUGGGACUACAGGCGCGCGCCACCACGCCCAGAUGAGAAAACUGAGGCACAGAGAGGUGAAAUAAGGCCCCCAGAAUGCUCUUCUCCAAGACUUAGAAAAAUCAAAUGCUAUCCAUCCCUCAAGAUACAUCCCUCCAGCCCCUCCUUGAAGUCUCCUGCAGCUAGAAGUAGAAGUAGCAUCUAUCCCCAUCUGGACUCCUUAGCACUUUG